rnacentral:rRNA from 1 species
CGAGGUAGAUAGGUUGGAGGUGGAAGUGCAGCAAUGCAUGGAGCUGACCAAUACUAAUCGGUCGAGGGCUUAUCCAAAAAC